rnacentral:lncRNA from 1 species
UCUAGGUUCUAGUGAUUCUCGUGCCUCAGCCUCCCAAGUACCUGGGAUUACAGACGUGUGCCACCAUGCUAAGGGGCCACUGCCGAUUCUCCUGUAACAAAAGACAGGUUAACAAGAGAAAAGCACACAGAUUUGUUUAAUCAAAGUUUUACAUAACAUGGGAGCCUUAGGAAAUGAAGACCCAAAGAACCAAGGGAAAACUGCCCAUUUCUAUGCUUAGAUUUGAUGAAGAGUGGUAGCCCUGCGGAGCUGUGACUGGACACAGAGGGAGCGAUGGGACAGUGACAGACAGAGGGGGACCCAGCUGGGCCUGUCUGGGUUCCUCUUGGCCUCCCUGUGUGGCGUUCCUUCUUCCUGCGUGUAGGGCAGGGCCCCUUCUGGAAUGAGGGUCUUAUAACCUACUUUCAGGAAAGUAAGUCAGAGAACUUCUUUAUGGCCAGCUCUUACUCAGAAAGGCAGGGAAAGUUCCAGUAGUGAUUCUAGUUUCUAAUGGCUGGCUUUGGGGAAAGAGAUUCUAGUUUCCGUGACCUGCUUUAGGGAAGAGGAUUUCUGGUUUCUAUGACUCACUUCUUGGGGGAAUGAGGGGCGAGAGACAGGAGGGCAGGAGAAGGUCAGAGACUUGGUUCUGAGGCUGCUUCUGAGGCUUUCCAAUGCCCUUUAGUUCAAAGUCCUCAGCAGGUCAAGGCCAUACUUGGGGUGUCCUUUUCGGAGCCGUGACUUAUGACUUAAAGCAAGAUGAACUGUUUUGCUAUUAUGUAGCAGAAUCAAGAUGAACUGUUUUGCUAUUAUGUAGCAGAAUCAAGAUGAACUCUUUUGCUAUUAUGUAGCAGAAACAGAAUUAAACCUAGCCUGCAGAAUUCAGAGUCCCAUGUGUUCUAUUGUUAUGCUAUCCCAGUGUAUGCCAUUGAGUGGAUAAAAUGAAAUGGCAUCAUUGUGCUUAUCCCAUAGGAAGCAACCCAUACAUGACAGAUACUGCUAUUAUAACUCAGCACCAUCCAUUCAGUCAUCGUGUGGUCUUCAUCUUUUGAAGCCUCAUUUUCUCAUCUGUAGAACUUGCGUGAGUAUUAAGAAGAUGUCUGAGGAUGCCAGGUGCUAGAGCUGCAGAGAGAACCUGCAGAGAGAAGGGGUGUUGGUUGUGUUGGUUAUUAGGGUGUCUCAGGCCAUCGUUCAGCACCCUGACCUCUUCCUUCAAGCUGAGCCCUGGGGAAGGGAGCAGAGGGGCAUGAAUAGCAUGAAGCUUUGUUACCAUGACGUCACAUGCUAUCCAUGGGGUUUUGUUGCUGUUACAGAGGUCCCCGUGAUAUGCUGUCCUGCAUUUCUAGACAUGUCUUUGGUUUGGAAGCCUGACACCACCAAAAGAGAACUGCAGUGCAAAUGGUUUUGAAAUCCUCCACUAAUCAUCCUAGAAGCUCAGCUAGUUCCAGGGCCUUCCAUAAUUCCAAUUCCAAAGGACUUCAUAUCAAAACAUUCUUUGCUUGUUUUGCUACCCCCCAAGAUUGCAUUUAUCCCUUCUCUGGAGAUUUUAACAGUUGGUGAGCUACCCUAGGCUCUGGUGGCACCUUCUAUAAGUGACCCUUGACCUUCCACUUUCCUGAACUGAUGAAAACAUAGCUGUGUUAGCUCAAAUAAAUAUUUCCUAACUGCCUGCUUUGGGGAAAAUGCUGUGUGAAAUGCUUGAUGGAUUUAUUUAUUCAACACCUGUUUAUGAAGUGUUGAUUAUGUGCUAG